rnacentral:lncRNA from 1 species
UUUGCCUCAAUUUACUGUUAACUGAGCAGCAAGGCUGCAACUGUGGAGUGUUGGGCUGGGUGGGUUGAGCUAUUCCCCACAUGGAGUGUAGGGCUGGUACGGGUGGAGUGUAGUGGUUGGUGGGUUGAGUAGUCUCCCCAAAUGGGUUUGCAUAUGUUAUUGAUGUUGCAUAUAUUUUGAAAUGGGCCUAUGGGCCAUACUGUUA